GGGCGGCGCUACCAUGCAGUCGAACGGUAACAGAAAGCAGCUUGCUGCUUUGCUGACGAGUGGCGGACGGGUGAGUAAUGUCUGGGAAACUGCCUGAUGGAGGGGGAUAACUACUGGAAACGGUAGCUAAUACCGCAUAACGUCGCAAGACCAAAGAGGGGGACCUUAGGGCCUCUUGCCAUCGGAUGUGCCCAGAUGGGAUUAGCUAGUAGGUGGGGUAACGGCUCACCUAGGCGACGAUCCCUAGCUGGUCUGAGAGGAUGACCAGCCACACUGGAACUGAGACACGGUCCAGACUCCUACGGGAGGCAGCAGUGGGGAAUAUUGCACAAUGGGCGCAAGCCUGAUGCAGCCAUGCCGCGUGUAUGAAGAAGGCCUUCGGGUUGUAAAGUACUUUCAGCGGGGAGGAAGGGAGUAAAGUUAAUACCUUUGCUCAUUGACGUUACCCGCAGAAGAAGCACCGGCUAACUCCGUGCCAGCAGCCGCGGUAAUACGGAGGGUGCAAGCGUUAAUCGGAAUUACUGGGCGUAAAGCGCACGCAGGCGGUUUGUUAAGUCAGAUGUGAAAUCCCCGGGCUCAACCUGGGAACUGCAUCUGAUA
rnacentral:rRNA from 1 species